ACUUUCAGCAGCUUGAUCCAGAGCCCGAUCAGCGGCAGAUUGAGCACCAGCAGCAUCAGGUUGCCGAUCCACAUCGAGACGAUCAGGGCCCAGAACAGCUGCGGGUGGUUGCUCAUCACCUGCGGGCC
rnacentral:ncRNA from 1 species